GUGACCUGGGGUGGUGGGGCUCCUGUGUGGGGUCUAAAUUAGGGCCUGCUGGCUGGGAGACCUCGAGGCGGCCUGAGGCAGGGCAGCCAGGAGGGACCCAGGGUCAUUGUCCAGAGGAGCCAAGUGCCGGGCAAAGACCUCCAGCCCUCAGGAUGCCCCUUUACGUGGGAUACUGCUCCAUUUCACAGACGGAGUAAACGAGGUUCAGAGAGGACGUCCUACCCACUUAUGGCUUUGCUUAGAUAGGGCCGUCAUGUAUUUAACGCGUGCUUGUUAAUACCGUGUUCACUCUGCAUCGGGCGCUGUUUGGAGUGCUUUGCCAGCAUUAACUCACUUCCUCGAGACGAUGCUAUGCGGUUGGUGCUGUGGUGAACAUACCCAUUCUGCAGAAGGGCAAGUGGAGACCUAGAAGGUUAUAAGUGAGUCGCCCAGGAUCGCACAGUGCUGGGAUUCUGAACACAAGGCCAUAUGGCUCCGGAGCAGGUUCUGAACUGGCCACGAUGAAGGCUAAGGAGUAGCGGAUGAGCAGAACUGAGCCACAGGGGCUGGGAUGCCGUAGGAUCUCAGUAUGUGUUAGCUCGCUCUGACAAUCCCCCGGAUUGCCUCGCUUCCCUCGUCUGUUCGGAAUAAAGGUCCUGGCCCCUUUGAAUGGCAGCUUCUCAGGCCGUCACGUCCCCUCCUGCUUUUUGCCAAAGCCCCGGAUCACGAGUGCUGCUUUGGCUUCCUCCGCACGGCCUCCCGCUCCCUCCCACUGUUUAGUUAAUAAUAACAUAUCAUGUUCUGUCUCA